rnacentral:rRNA from 1 species
CAACUUUCAACAACGGAUCUCUUGGCUCUCGCAUCGAUGAAGAACGCAGCGAAAUGCGAUACGUAAUGUGAAUUGCAGAAUUCAGUGAAUCAUCGAAUCUUUGAACGCACCUUGCGCCCCUUGGCAUUCCAAGGGGCACACCCGUUUGAGUGUCGUGA